rnacentral:lncRNA from 1 species
CUUUUAUGCUCCUACUGUUGCCUAAGAAGGGGGUAUUAAUUGAAGAACUCUUGGGAGAAUAGGAUUUUGAAACUUUACUAAGAAGAAUGUAAAACUUCUUUCUUACAAAACCAACAACUUCAACUAAUGUUGAAUGCCAAAGUGUAAACGUUGAUCGUGUGACAAAUGUAAAUUGAUUCAUGAGGAGAGACUGUGGUUUGGUGCAAAGAAAGUGUUCUGGAAUUGGAAGAUCUGGAUCAGACUCAGGCUCUGUCAGAUAAUGGCUGUAUCAUCUUUGAAAAGCAAAACAAUCUACUAAUGAAAUCAGAAGGAUUUCCAGUGAUGCUGCCCACAUUUCUGUGAAAAAGAGGAAGUUUUUUAAGUCAGAUGGAAGUUACACUUUUUCAAAAAAAAAAAUAUGCAGGGAAGAAUAA